AAGUAUUUUCUUGACUUGGCCUAUUAAUUCAAGUCGUUUUCCUUUUAUGAUUGCUGAUCAUACUGUUUCAUAUGACAUUUGCAAACUUGAGUUGAGUUCAUCCUUUUUUUUGUAUUAGUCAACAACAUUUUGAAAAAUAACCAUUGUUGGAGAGGUGAUCAAUCUUAUUUGUCUAGAUAUGAAAGCUUUAUCACUAAUCUUUUUUUGAUGCAGUAGCUAGUGGUAGAGAUGCAUUAGAAAAUGAAGUCCCCUUGCCGCCGCUGCCUGAUCGUACAACAAAUUUGCAAUGGGGUGAGGUUAAACCACUUUCAGGAAAACCAUACUUUCAUAGUAUUCUUACAAGUUCAAAUCUCUAUCCCCGUUAUUAUAUGUGGCCUGCGAUCAGCGUACGGUUAGAACUUCCUUUUUGUGAGGUCCCCACCAUUCUCACCUAUAUGGGCAAGAGCUGGGACAUGGUGUAUUGUGGACAAAACAAACUGCAGGUUUUUAGUGCCGCAGGAUGGAAAAAGUUUGCUGUUGAAAAUUGUUUGAGGGUUGGAGAUGCAUGCAUUUUUGAGCUGAUGGAAAGCAGUGACAAGAAAGUCAUCUUUGAAGUUCAAAUUCUUAGAGGUGACAUCCCAUAUGAAAUUCUUAAAAAUGAAAUGAUUAUAGGUCAGAAUCCGGAAAUGCCAAUUGUCCUUAACUAGUAUUUUAACCAUCUGAUGCAUUUUAUUUUGUUUUUCAUUCUGAGAUGGUUAAGGACUUGAGGGUUAUUGGAUAUCUUUUCUUCUGAGUAGGUGAGUGAAUGGAUUUAAUCACUGCCGCAACUUGUUAGGAGUAGUAAUUAUAUUUUCCGUUUCUAAAUACUACUAGAAUUUUAUUAUUGUCAGAGUAACACAUUAUAGUUUGUACCUUCUAGGCUAACACUGAAUGCUAUUUUGUUGGUGUACUCUGGGUUUUGUUACUACGUCACUGUUGAGGGGUAGAGUAGUGAUGGUGAGUAUUGAAUGGUUUCAAAGGACAAAUCGUUUCUUCCGUUUAAAUGAACCUUAAAUGUUUUUAUAGUAAGCUGAUUUGAACUUGAUACACUAUAUUUGACCUAGACAUUUUGUGCCCCUAGACGCAUAUUUUAGGCAAAAUAAAGUUGCUUUUGUGAUAAUUAAAACAACAACAAUAAUAGCUUGUCUCAAAUCUAGUUAUUUGUUUUUAAAGGCG